CCUACGGGAGGCUGCAGUGGGGAAUAUUGCACAAUGGGGGAAACCCUGAUGCAGCGACGCCGCGUGAGUGAAGAAGUUAUUCGUUAUGUAAAGCUCUAUCAGCAGGGAAGAAAAUGACGGUACCUGAGUACGAAGCCCCGGCUAACUACGUGCCAGCAGCCGCGGCAAUACGUGGGGGGCAAGCGUUAUCCGGAUUUACUGGGUGUAAAGGGGGCGUAGACGGCAGUGCAAGUCUGGAGUGAAAGGCGGGGGCUCAACCCCCGGACUGCUGUGGAAACUGUAAGGCUGGAGUGCAGGAGAGGUAAGUGGAAUUCCUAGUGUAGCGGUGAAAUGCGUAGAUAUUAGGAGGAACACCAGUGGCGAAGGCAGCAUACUGGACUGUAACUGACGUUGAGGCUCGAAAGCGUGGGGAGCGAACAGGAUUAGAUACCCUUGUAGUC
rnacentral:rRNA from 1 species